GUGAUAGUGCCGAUGGUUGUGGCGUUAGUAGUGUAGUGAUAGUGGUCGCGCGUUGAAAGUGUUAGAAAGAAGGGAAAUUCGAGGAAAAGAGGAUAAGAAAAAAGUAUAUAACAAAAUAGGGGAGAAUCUAGUAGAGUGAAAAAAAAAUUAUAGAACUGUAAGAUCGGGUGUCAAAGAUGGCAGAUACGAGUCCACAACCAGCGUUGUCAGAACCACAUACGAAUGGAGUAAUGGACGGUUUAACAGAGGAGGAGAAAAGUAAGAUGCGACCAGCCGACAUCGACGCGGAUAUGAGAGAAAUGGAGAGGAGGAAAAGGGUCGAAAUGAUGAUGAAUUCGCGACUGUUUCGAGAGGAGUUGGAGCGAAUAAUUGAGACGCAAAUGAAAGAUGGUGCUGGACCAUCGGGUCUGCUGCAGCAAAUCUCUGACAUGAUGGGUGCGCAAGGUGCUCGGUUUAGUGGAAAUGUGUUUAAAAAUUCAAACUGCGUGUUACCGAUCAAUGAUAUACGCGGCGUCGAAAGUAUGGGCUAUGCGAAAGGAGAGAAAUUAUUACGUUGCAAAUUGGCAGCCGUAUUUAGAUUAUUGGAUCUGUACGGUUGGACCCAGGGUGCCGGCGGACAAAUAACUGCGCGUUUAAAUCAAGAUCAGGAACACUUUUUAGUUAAUCCUUAUGGCUUGCUCUAUCACGAAAUCACUGCCUCCAGUUUGAUCAAAGUCGACAUGCAAGGGUCGAUCGUCGAACAGGGAACGACCAAUUUCGGCGUUCACGUAGCAGGAUUCCAAUUGCAUUCGACGAUUCACGCGGCGAGACCCGAUAUCAAAUGUAUCGUUCAUAUUACUACUCCGUCCGUUACCGCCAUCUCGUCGUUAAAGUGUGGAUUACUACCGAUCGGACAAGAGAGUAUAGUAAUAGGGGACGUGAGCACGCAUCAGUACAUUGGUGGAUCUUUUGAACCCGAGGAAAAGGAAAAGAUUGCAAGAAACCUUGGCCCGAUAAACAAAGUGAUGAUGUUAACGAAUCGUGGUGCUCUCUGUUGCGGAGAAACCGUCGAGGAAGCGUUUUUUAACGUUUAUAACAUGGUUUUAGCUUGCGAGACUCAGUUAAAGCUAAUGCCCGCCGGUUUGGAUAAUUUAAAUCUUAUUUCGGAAGAAUCGAAAAAAGCCAUAUUCGAGGCUUCGAGAAAACCACCGACACCGCAACAAACGACCGUACCGAUUUCCGACAGCGCUGUUCUUGCCGAAAAACUUGAUAAGCGCUGGCGAAUCGGUGGAACUGAAUUCGAGGCACUCAUGCGAAUGCUCGAUAACGCGGGCUUUCGUACCGGUUAUAUCUAUAGAAAUCCUUUGGUGAAAGGAGAACCUCCGCGACCACGAAACGACGUCGAAGUGCCUCCGGCGGUCUCCUCGCUGGGGUAUUUGCUCGAGGAAGAGGAACUCUAUAAACAAGGACUCUGGAAAGGCGGACGCAAAGGCACGGAUAGAUCGCGUUGGUUAAAUUCGCCUAACGUGUAUCAGAAGGUCGAAAUACUGGAAACAGGAACUCCUGAUCCGAAAAAAAUUACAAAGUGGGUGUCAGAUGGAUCUCCGACCCAUACCAGUACACCGGUGAAGAUCGAUGGUGCCCUGCAAUUCGUACCGAAAAAUACCAAUCCAAAGGAGUUUAAGCAAAUACAACAACAGAUAAAAGAUUACCGUAGAGCGGAUAAAAUAUCGGCUGGACCACAAUCCCAUAUAUUGGAAGGAGUUACUUGGGAAGAAGCUAAGAAGAUGCAGGAUGCAACUAUCAGUGGAACAGGGGAACAAGUGGUGUUAGUAGGAGCAGCCAGUAAAGGUAUCAUUCAAAGAGGCUUCCAGCACAAUGCGAUGGUUUACAAAACUCCGUAUGCAAAAAAUCCUUUCGAUGCGGUUACCGAUCAAGAGCUGGACCAAUACAAAAAGGAAAUCGAACGAAAACAAAAAGGAGAUAUUUACGACGAAUCGCAAUCGGAGUCGGAAGCGUUGUCAUCGUUUAAUGUUAGCCGUGCGACCCACGAAUCUAGCACUGCCAAAAGUCCAAUUCAGUCACCGGUAUCGGUAACUUCGGAAACGGAAGAAGAAAGCAGAGACGAACCUCGAGUAUUGCGAAUAGAGACGAAACAAGUGCCUGCACCGAGUCAACCGGAAGUUGUGUUGAGCGAUGGAGAAAAUACCGUGAACGGCGAUCACUCCGAUGCGCAUCACAGUACAUUUUCUCAAAGUAGUAAAGAGGGUUCCGUGUCGCAGGAUGUCAGCGUUAGCGAAGAAUCGCCGAAGAAGGAAAAGAAGAAGAAAAAAGGCCUUAGGACACCAUCCUUUUUGAAGAAGAAGAAGGAAAAGAAGAAGCCAGUCGAGGCGUAGGUAGUUCUAACUUUGAUAUAUAGCCGUAUAGGUAUCAAGUAUAGGAUAUAACGAAACGUUAACAAUACGACGGUAUUUUCUUUUCUUUUAUUUCCUUCGACUUUUUACUUGGAAAUAUCUCUAAUUACUCGAUCGGUACAUUAUAUAUCGACCGGAUACAUAUUCUGUGGAAAUACUACCUAGUAGAUGGGGCACGGUCGAAGAAUAAAAAGACACUGCCACGUGCGAAAGCUCGUCGCAAAUAAAAGAAGAACGUUCACCGAAUAAAAGAAAAGAUUGAAAACGCGAGCAGAAGAGGAG
rnacentral:misc_RNA from 1 species